rnacentral:rRNA from 1 species
GUCUAUGACCAGACCACCAUGAACAUGCCCCAUCUCUCCUGAUUUCAGAAACUAAGCAAGGUCAGGUCUAGUUAGCAGUUGGAUGGGAGCCCAACUAAAGCAAAUUUUGUUGAAGAUU